UACGUAGGGGGGCAAGCGUUUGUCCGGAUUUAUUGGGCGUAAAGAGCGUGUAGGCGGCCAGGUAGGUCUGCUGUGAAAACUCGAGGCUCAACCUCGAGAUGUCGGCGGAAACCAUCUGGCUAGAGUCCGGAAGAGGAAAGUGGAAUUCCCGGUGUAGCGGUGAAAUGCGCAGAUAUCAGGAGGAACACCGGUGGCGAAGGCGGGUCUCUGGGCCGUAACUGACGCUGAGGAGCGAAAGCAUGGGGAGCGAACAGG
rnacentral:rRNA from 1 species